rnacentral:rRNA from 1 species
CAGCCGCCGCGGGAAUACGUAGGGUGCAAGCGUUAAUCGGAAUUACUGGGCGUAAAGCGUGCGCAGGCGGUUAUAUAAGACAGAUGUGAAAUCCCCGGGCUCAACCUGGGAACUGCAUUUGUGACUGUAUAGCUAGAGUACGGCAGAGGGGGAUGGAAUUCCGCGUGUAGCAGUGAAAUGCGUAGAUAUGCGGAGGAACACCGAUGGCGAAGGCAAUCCCCUGGGCCUGUACUGACGCUCAUGCACAAAAGCGUGGGGAGCAAACAGGAUUAGAGACCCCAGUAGUCCCUGUCUCUUAUAC